AAGAAAGAGUAAAGACAGAGGAUGACUUACCUUAUUCAAUAGCGCUCAAAGCUGAAUCUUCUAUCAAAGGAAAAAAAAGCAUUUGGCUCGGGUCCCUGAAAAAGAAAACAAUGAUACAGUGUAACUAUACAGGCAUGGAAGAACCAGAUAGUAACAGUAAGUGCAGUACAGAUUUAUUGAUGCCGAAGACACAGAUAGAUAUGAAGAUGGAAAAAGUUUCAAAAAAAGACCCAAAUAUUCUGGAAGCAAGUGAUGGGGAGGAAAAUAACAAAUUUAAUGAUGGUAUUGAUAGUCUUGGAAAGCGUAUGACCACUGUGGAGGAAAAGUUACAGAAAAACCAAAGUAGCAUGGCAGAAAAUCAGAGAGAUGAAAUGAAGAUUAAAAAUUAUGAAGAAUGGUACGCAACACAACAACCGAGAUAUCACAGAAGCAGAUGGCGUUUAUUGGACAGGAAGGAGAACUUUGAUGUAAAUAUGUCAGAAAGGAUCUUGGGUAAAAGCAAGUUUAAUCACGAAGGCCUAGUUGAGAAUGUGACAUACCCCACUAAUGAAAGUCCGGUUAAAAAAGCAAAGGCAAAUAAGGAUAGGGAGGAUGGUUAUGCCAAUUUUGAUUGUAAGCAGACUGUUUCCCACGUUAGUUCAGAACUGACAAAAGUUAUAUCAGAGGCUGCCAAUGGGCAAGCCGACCGGAAGCCAUGAAACUCCUAAGCUGGAAUGUCUGGGGACUGGGGAAUCCCCGGGCUAUUAGGAGAUUUCAACACACGUUGAAACUCUACAAACCCCAACUGGUCGUCAUAAUGGAGACAAAAUUAGAUCAUAGAUGCAUGGAACGAGUCAAGAGAAAAUGUGGUUUUCAAAACGGGAUAGACAUAUCAGCAACGGGUACACGUGGUGGAAUUUGCCUUGCAUGGAAUGAAAAUCACUUGGUUAAUGUUCUUAGUUAUUCAGAAUCUCAUGUUGAUGUUGAAGUCACUGAUGAAAAUAACUCAAACAAAUGGAGGUUCACUGGAUUUUAUAGGAAUCCACGAGUCUCAGAUAGGCAGGAAUCUUGGAAUCUUCUUCGAAGGCUACGAGAAACAAAUUCAGGAGCAUGGUGUGUAUGUGGUGAUUUCAAUGAGAUUAUGUAUGCCCAUGAAAAAACAGGAGGCGCAACAAGAAAUGAAAGGCAGGUGGAGGCUUUUCAAAAGGUCUUGACAAAUUGUGAAUUAGUCGAUUUGGGUUAUACGGGCUAGAAGGAUACAUGGGAGAGGGGCAACUUUCAGAACACAAAUAUUCGAGAACGGCUAGACCGGGGAGUGGCAAAUAAUGCUUGGCUCAACUUGUUUAGUAAUUACGAGGUACAAAAUCUUCCGCAUUCAUUCUCUGACCACUGUCCAAUUCUAAUCAAAACAGAGAUGAAUAGUGCACAUGAUGGGAAAAACCGCUUUAAGUUUGAGUCUUGGUGGCUUAUGGAACCAAAUUGUGCUGAUGUUAUUAGGAAACUAUGGGAUGAGAAAUCAGGUGACGCUCUUGCUAAAUUGGAAAAUCUUCGAGCUGGCCUACAAAAAUGGGGACGAAGUAUCAAGUACACAUAAGAUAGGAAAAGGAAGAACCUUCGAGAUCGAUUGGUUCAACUUGAUAAUAUGGAUCGGGACGAUGAUGUGAUAGCAGAAAUCAUUGAUAUAAAGUUGGAGCUUAAUUAGGAAAUGGAAAAGGAGGAAUUAUAUUGGGAACAACGGGCCAGAGCCAAUUGGUUGCUUAAGGGUGAUAAAAACACUGUUUUUUCAUAGUAAAGCCACGCAAAGACAGAGGAUGAAUCGUAUCCAGGGAUUGGAAGACAAGAAUAGAAUCUUUAAGACAGAAAGAGAGGAUAUGGAGACCAUCGUUAAAGAUUAAUUUAUGGAGCUCUUUAAAUCAAAAAGGGUUGGCAACACAAACCAUCUUCUAUCAGGGGUUAAAAAAUGUAUCAAUGAGGAUAUGAACCAAAUAUUAGCAGCAAAUUAUAAGGAGGAAAAGAUAGUUGAAGCGCUUAAGAGCAUAGGGCCGACAAAAGCUUCUAGGCCUGAUGGCUUCCCAGCUAUUUUCUUUCAGAAAUUUUGGUUUAAUGUAGGCAAAGAGAUUUGUGAGUUUUGCUUACAAGUCCUAAAUAAAGGUAUGUCUUUGCAACCUUUAAACCAUACGAAUAUAGUAUUAAUUCCAAAACCGGCUCACCCGAAUAGCCCCAUAGAUUUUAGACACAUACUCUCCGGAACAAAAGAGUGAGGAAAAAAGGGUUCAUGGCCUUUAAGAUUGAUACGAGUAAGGCAUACAAUAGGGUAGAAUGGAGGUUUCUGAAACAAAUGAUGAUUAAGAUGGGUUUUGAUGAAGAAUGGGUUGCGAGAAUUAUGCAGUGUAUUAAUACGGUCACAUACUCGGUGAUUUUAAAUGGCGUCCCAAGAAUGGUAUUUAACCCUGAAAGAGGACUAUGACAAGGCGAUCCACUUAGCCCUUUGUUAUUUCUCAUAUGUAGCAAAGGACUUUCUACACUACUAAGGUUAGAAGCUGAGGAAGGAAGACUAAAAGGGAUCAAAGCAAGCAGACGAGGACCUCAAAUCUCUCGCUUGUUAUUUGCUGAUGAUUGCAUUCUAUUUGGGGAAGCAACAGAGCGGGGAAUUACAACAUUUGAACAAAUUCUAAAAGAGUACGAGGAAUGUUCCGGCCAAUGCAUUAAUUAUGGAAAAUCAACGAUGUUUUUUAGCUCAAAUACUUUAGAGACAGUUCGAGCGAAUAUAUCAAACCGACUGGGAGCUAAAAGGUCCAAUAACUGUGAAAACUACUUGGGUUUACCAAAUAUGGUGGGCCAAAGAAAACGUGGGGCUUUUCAAUAUCUAAAAGACCGUAUAAAGAUGAGAAUAGACAAUUGGAGUACUCGUUUGUUAUCACAAAGAGGGAAAGAGGUGUUCAUUAAAGCUAUUUUACAAGCAAUUCCCACAUACACAAUGUCCUGCUUCUUACUACCGAUGACUACGUGCUACGAAAUGGAACAAUUAAUGGCAAACUUCUGGUGGAAAAAGGGGAAAGGUAAACGCGGAAUUCAUUGGUGUUCUUGGCACAAAUUAUGUGAAUUAAAAGAUGAGGGUGGACUUGGUUAUCGUAAUUUAGAGAAAUUCAAUUUGGCCCUCCUUAUAAAACAAGGGUGAAGAUUAAUUGAUAAUCCGAUGUCCCUUUUGGCAAGAACAUUAAAAGCAAAGUACUAUCAAAACUCUGAUUUCUUAAGGUCAGAGUUAGGAAACUCACCAUCAUAUACUUGGAAAAUUUUAUGGGCAGCCAAAGGGCUACUGCUCUCAGGUCUAAGCUGGAGGCUUGGUGAUGGAAGUAACAUCAAAAUUGAAGAAGAUGCUUGGGUUCCGAAUGCUAAUGGUUUGCUGGUUCAGAAAAUAGGCAAUAGGCAAGAUGUUACUAAAGUUUCAGAACUUAUCGAGUAUAGAAAUAGAACAUGGAAGUCGAAGCUGAUUCAUACUACCUUUUCGGAAGAGGUUGCACAACAGAUUUUAUUAAUCCCAUUGGCCCGUUCUCCUCACGACGACUUUCUUUGUUGGAGAGGCAAGGCAUCCGACGAAUAUAAGGCACGCAGUGGGUACAAAAUUCUCUUACAAAGUAAUGGAAAUUACAACCAAAGUGCGAAUAAUAACUUUUACAAGAAAAUCUGGACAAGUGACCUCCCUUUAAAAAUUAGAAUUACAGCUUGGAGAUCCACUCUUAAUUAUCUUCCUACCCUAGAAAACUUAAAAACAAAGCGAGUAACUAAUAACGACAUUUGCCAGAGGUGCAUGCAAGGCCAGGAAAAUAGAGACCAUCUUUUUCGCGAUUGUGCUGUCAGCAAAGAAACAUGGGCAGAAUUAGAGUUUGCAUGGCCCCAGAACAUUUUACAAUCCGAAUAUAUGGAAUGGUUUACCGGGACGGUGUUAAACAGUAAAACAGAAGUAGUCCAAAUUUUUAUCUGCGCCAUAUGGGCUAUCUGGUCAGCUAGGAAUAAAUGGGUCCACGAAAGUCAGAAGCGGUCUGGAGCAGAAACAGCAAAUUUCAUCUAGAAGUACAUACAAGAACUAAAAGAUAUUGAAAGAAAGGAACUCACCUCGGAUCGGAAUUUCAAGGCAUGGAGGCCUCCGCCACAAGGUUUCUUCGAGAUCAACUUCGAUGCUGCUUUCGAUAAAAAGGAGAAAAAGUCAUGUUCAGGAAUAAUAGUCAGGAACCCCAAAGGAGCAGUUACAGUAUCAAAAGAACAAAUACAUACCAACAUUUCCUCUAGUUUUGCAGCUGAAGCCAUUGCAUGUUUACAGGCAGUUAAUAUAGGCAGAGAACUAGGCUUAACUCAUGUAAUCAUUGAAGGCGACUCUUUGACAGUGAUAAAGAAGAUAUAGAAUCAAAACAAAGACAGGUCGGAAAUAGGGCCUUUCAUUUUUUACAUAAAAGAACGAAGAACAAUGUUUCUUGAAUGUUAGUUCCAACAUGUAAAGAGAACAGAAAAUGCAGAAGCACAUAACCUGGCACCAGAGGCUCUGAAAAUGGACAGGCAUACAGAUGCUAACCACAGGCAUGCAACGACAACUCUAAUCGGGGCUGGCAACAACACAUCUAAAAAUGGACAGGUUGUUACUGAAGCAGAAGUUGAUCGGGGCUGGAAACGACAUCUCCAAUCGGCUAUGAGUCAUCAUCAAAGAGUUUUUACUGAAGUUAAAGUAACAGAGAACAAGUUUCAGGAGAGGACGGAAGGAUAUGAAAUGGAAAAGGAAAGAACAAAAGUAAAUCAAAAGUCAUGAGGCAACAAAUUUCCUCGAAAUUCUGGGACGUCUCCAAAAUGAAAAGACAGAUGAAAGGAUGAGACACACACAGAACUCUCUGAUUGGGUGAAAGGGCUGGCAUUUGUUUAGCUUCUAGAAUAUUCUUUUAUUAGUGGAGUUUGGGCC
rnacentral:lncRNA from 1 species